rnacentral:rRNA from 1 species
AUGCAAAUAAUGUUGUUCCUUUGUGCUAAUGGAAUUCCCUUUAAUGUGUUGAGAAGUCCUCAACACUAUGAAAUGGUAGCAGCCAUCCAGAGAGCACCAAAGGGAUACAAACCUCCUGCAUAUGAGAAGGCUAGGACUACUCUUCUAGAUGCAUGUAAGAGAAAGGUGGAGAAUGAUUUGGCUCCGGUUAGACAAACAUGGUAUUCCCAUGGUGUCUCUGUUGUUUCUGACGGAUGGACAAAUAUGAAGAACCAUCCAUUAAUCAACGUAAUAGCAUCGAAUAGCUGUGGUUCAAUGUUUCUGUACGCAGAAGACUUCUCCGGAGAAGAGAAGACAGGUGAAGCCAUUGCACAAUUCUUACUGCAAGCCAUUGAGGAGAUUGGCCCUUCCAAUGUCCUUCAGGUCAUCACUGAUAAUGCAUCUAAUUGCAGAGUUGCGGGUGAAGAAAUUGAGAAAGUGCAUAAGCAUAUAUUUUGGUCUCCAUGUGUGGUUCACACACUGAAUCUAGUAUUCAAAGAUUUUGCAAAAAAAAGUUUGCUUGGAUGGUUGAUACAUACCAGACUGGGAAAGCAAUUGUGA